rnacentral:rRNA from 1 species
GAAGGUCAGGCUGAAGACCUUACCCGAUUAGCUGAGAGGUGGUGCAUGGCCGUCGUCAGUUCGUACUGUGAAGCAUCCUGUUAAAGUCAGGCAACGAGCGAGACCCACGUCCACAGUUGCCAGCAUACCCUCCGGGGUGAUGGGUACACUGUGGAGACCGCCGCUGCUAAAGCGGAGGAAGGAGUGGGCAACGGUAGGUCAGUAUGCCCCGAAUCUCCCGGGCUACACGCGGGCUACAAUGGUUGGUACAAUGGGCAUCUACCCCGAAAGGGGAAGGAAAUCUCUUAAAGCCAAUCGUAGUUCGGAUUGAGGGCUGCAACUCGCCCUCAUGAAGCUGGAAUCCGUAGUAAUCGCGUUUCAACAGAACGCGGUGAAUACGUCCCUGCUCCGUU